UUGGAGGGCAAGUCUGGUGCCAGCAGCCGCGGUAAUUCCAGCUCCAAUAGCGUAUAUUAAAGUUGUUGCAGUUAAAAAGCUCGUAGUUGAAUUUCGGGGUCAGCAGGUUGGUCGUGCCAAUGGUAUGCACUGGCCUUGCUGAUUCCUCCCUCUUGAUGAGCCGUAAUGCCAUUAAUUUGGUGUUGCGGGGAAUCAGGACUGUUACUUUGAAAAAAUUAGAGUGUUUAAAGCAGGCAAGCGCUUGAAUACAUUAGCAUGGAAUAAUGAAAUAGGACGUUUAAUCCUAUUUUGUUGGUUUCUAGGAUUGACGUAAUGAUUAAUAGGGAUAGUUGGGGGCAUUAGUAUUCAAUUGUCAGAGGUGAAAUUCUUGGAUUUAUUGAUGACUAACUACUGCGAAAGCAUUUGCCAAGGAUGUUUUCAUUAAUCAAGAACGAAAGUUAGGGGAUCGAAGACGAUCAGAUACCGUCGUAGUCUUAACCAUAAACUAUGCCGACUAGGGAUCGGAUGAUGUUAAUUUUUUAAUGACUCAUUCGGCGCCUUACGGGAAAC
rnacentral:rRNA from 1 species